rnacentral:piRNA from 1 species
UCCUGAACACUACAUCAGUCUCUGUAAGCCA